GACGAACGCUGGCGGCGUGCUUAACACAUGCAAGUCGAACGAUGAAGCCGGAGCUUGCUCUGGUGAAUUAGUGGCGAAUGGGUGAGUAACACGUGAGUAACCUGCCCUUGACUCUGGGAUAACUGCUAGAAAUGGUAGCUAAUACCGGAUACGACCCUCGGAGGCAUCUCCAGGGGGUGGAAAGAAUUUCGGUCAAGGAUGGACUCGCGGCCUAUCAGCUAGUUGGUGAGGUAACGGCUCACCAAGGCGACGACGGGUAGCCGGCCUGAGAGGGUGACCGGCCACACUGGGACUGAGACACGGCCCAGACUCCUACGGGAGGCAGCAGUGGGGAAUAUUGCACAAUGGUGCAAGCCUGAUGCAGCAACGCCGCGUGAGGGAUGACGGCCUUCGGGUUGUAAACCUCUUUUAGUAGGGAAGAAGCGAAAGUGACGGUACCUGCAGAAAAAGCACCGGCUAACUACGUGCCAGCAGCCGCCGUAA
rnacentral:rRNA from 1 species